rnacentral:rRNA from 1 species
UGAGGAAUAUUGGGCAAUGCCCGCAAGGGUGACCCAGCAACGCCGCGUGGAGGAUGAAUGUCGUAAGAUUGUAAACUCCUGUUAGAGGGGAAGAAUAGUACCGGUUGGACCGGUAUAUGACUGUACCCUCAGAGAAAGCCCCGGCUAACUACGUGCCAGCAGCCGCGGUAAUACGUAGGGGGCAAGCGUUGUCCGGAUUUACUGGGUGUAAAGGGCGCGCAGGCGGGAUAAAAAGUCAGUGGUGAAAUCCUACAGCUUAACUGUAGAACUGCCUUUGAUACUUUUAUUCUUGAGUUCGGGAGAGAGAGACGGAAUUCCAGGUGUAGUGGUGAAAUACGUAGAUAUUUGGAAGAACACCAGUUGCGAAGGCGGUCUCUUGGUCCGACACUGACGCUGAGGCGCGAAAGCGUGGGGAGCAAACA